rnacentral:rRNA from 1 species
CACGUAGGGUGCGAGCGUUGUCCGGAAUUAUUGGGCGUAAAGAGCUCGUAGGUGGCGGGUCACGUCGGGUGUGAAAGCCCGGGGCUUAACCCCGGGUCUGCAUUCGAUACGGGCUUGCUAGGGUCCGGCAGGGGAGACUGGAAUUCCUGGUGUAGCGGUGAAAUGCGCAGAUAUCAGGAGGAACACCGGUGGCGAAGGCGGGUCUCUGGGCCGGUACAGACGCUGAGGAGCGAAAGCGUGGGGAGCGAACAGG